rfam:Picea glauca, whole genome shotgun sequence.
UGCAACAUAGCAUUAAUGCACCAGAUCCCAUUAGAACUCCACAGUUAAUAGCGCUUAGGCUAGAGUAGUACCGGGAUGGGUGACCACCUGGGAAGUCCUAGUGUUUUAC